rnacentral:lncRNA from 1 species
GUGGCAUUUCCAUUGCCGUUUUUGCUGUUCGUUUUUAUUUUAAUUAAAAACUCCCACAGCCAAACGGAAGGGGUUCUCAGCGCGUAGGAUGCAAAAUGGAAGGAGCAGGUUUCAGGGUUCCCAGCCAAAGGCCCCGCCAGCCCCAUGUGUUGGAAUAUUUGAUAUUUAUGUGCCUCCUCCUGCACCACAACGGAGGCACCAGCAGCCAGAAGGCAGAAGGGAGUUUCGCUCGCCAGUGCCCGGUGGCAAGUUCCACUCCGAUAAGCAUCUGCCGCUGCUGCUGCUGCUGCUGCUGCUGCUGUUGCCGUUGCUGUUUCUCAUGUUCUGUGGCUCCGAUUUUCGGUGCGUUUCGGCGGUUUGUUCCGCAAUUAUGCAAAUCCAAAGAUCGCCACAGAGCGAUAUACCAAAAUUCCAUGCAUUUACAAUUUUCUAAUCAAUGGAAUUUUAAUUUUAAUUUCCAACGGAACACCCGUCCUUGUUUGCCAUGUGUCUUUCCACUUUUUCUAAUUGUGGUCGGGGCAAAAAUGGUUUAAUUUGCCGUUUGGAUUGCUUGCUCUCUGGUGCUGGUCUGUAGUGGGCUGAAUGCGAUUAUAUCGCACCAUGGCGGCACAUUCAUAAUUUUGCGAUAAAAGAAGUCAAAGGGCUGUGGCUGGUCCUGACAUGUCACUUUCCAUUUUGCGUAGCCAGCGCCAGCUGAGUUUUCGAUUAAUUCAAUCCCAGUGUGAAAUGUGUCACUCAC